UACGAAGGGAGCUAGCGUUGUUCGGAAUCACUGGGCGUAAAGCGCACGUAGGCGGCUUUGUAAGUCAGAGGUGAAAGCCUGGAGCUCAACUCCAGAACUGCCUUUGAGACUGCAUCGCUUGAAUCCAGGAGAGGUGAGUGGAAUUCCGAGUGUAGAGGUGAAAUUCGUAGAUAUUCGGAAGAACACCAGUGGCGAAGGCGGCUCACUGGACUGGUAUUGACGCUGAGGUGCGAAAGCGUGGGGAGCAAACAGG
rnacentral:rRNA from 1 species